CAAUAGCGUAUAUUAAAGUUGUUGCAGUUGAAAAGCUCGUAGUUGGAUUUCGGGGCAGCCUGGCUGGUCCGCCGCAAGGCGAGUACUGGUCAGCCGCCCUUCCUCUCGAAAGCCCCGACUGCUCUUCGUUGCAGUGGUCGGGUAGUUCGGGACGUUUACUUUGAAAAAAUUAGAGUGUUCAAGGCAGGCCUACGCCUGAAUACAUUAGCAUGGAAUAAUGGAAGAGGACCUCGGUCCUAUUUUGUUGGUUUCCAGGGCCGAAGUAAUGAUUAAGAGGGACAGUUGGGGGCAUUCGUAUUUAAUUGUCAGAGGUGAAAUUCUCGGAUUUAUGAAAGACGAACAACUGCGAAAGCAUUUGCCAAGGAUGUUUUCAUUAA
rnacentral:rRNA from 1 species